GACGAACGCUGGCGGCGUGCUUAACACAUGCAAGUCGAGCGGAGCGGCGAACGGGUGAGUAACGCGUUAGUACCUGCCCCCCUCUCUGGGAUAACAGUUGGAAACGGCUGCUCAUACCGGAUAGUGGGGGCUGACUUGCGGCCUAUCAGCUUGGUGGGGGGGUAGUGGCCUACCAAGGCGACGACGGGUAGCCGGCCUGAGAGGGCGACCGGCCACAUUGGGCUGGGAUACGGCCCAAACUCCUACGGGAGGCAGCAGUGGAGAAUAGUGCACAAUGGGGGAAACCCUGGUGCAGCAACGCCGCGGGCGAGAUGACGGCCUUCGGGUUGUAAACCGCUUUCGGCCAUGACGCGGUAGUGGCAGAAGAAGCACCGGCUAACUACGUGCCAGCCGCCGCGGUAAUAC
rnacentral:rRNA from 1 species